rnacentral:rRNA from 1 species
CAGCCGCCACGGGAAUACGAAGGGGGCUAGCGUUGUUCGGACUUACUGGGCGUAAAGCGCACGUAGGCGGACUUUUAAGUCAGGGGUGAAAUCCCGGGGCUCAACCCCGGAACUGCCUUUGAUACUGGGAGUCUUGAGUUCGAGAGAGGUGAGUGGAAUUGCGAGUGUAGAGGUGAAAUUCGUAGAUAUUCGCAGGAACACCAGUGGCGAAGGCGGCUCACUGGCUCGAUACUGACGCUGAGGUGCGAAAGCGUGGGGAGCAAACAGGAUUAGAUACCCGAGUAGUCCCUGUCUCUUAUAC